UACGUAGGGUGCAAGCGUUGUCCGGAAUUAUUGGGCGUAAAGAGCUCGUAGGCGGUUUGUUGCGUCGGCUGUGAAAUCCCGAGGCUCAACCUCGGGUCUGCAGUCGAUACGAGCAAACUAGAGUGUUGCAGGGGAGACUGGAAUUCCUGGUGUAGCGGUGAAAUGCGUAGAUAUCGGGAGGAACACCAGUGGCGAAGGCGGUUGCCUGGAGCUUUGCUGACGCUGAGGCGCGAAAGCGUGGGGAGCGAUCCGG
rnacentral:rRNA from 1 species